rnacentral:rRNA from 1 species
CAGUCGCCGCGGGAAUACGUAGGGUGCAAGCGUUAAUCGGAAUUACUGGGCGUAAAGCGUGCGCAGGCGGUUCGCUAAGACAGAUGUGAAAUCCCCGGGCUUAACCUGGGAACUGCAUUUGUGACUGGCGGGCUAGAGUAUGGCAGAGGGGGGUAGAAUUCCACGUGUAGCAGUGAAAUGCGUAGAGAUGUGGAGGAAUACCGAUGGCGAAGGCAGCCCCCUGGGCCAAUACUGACGCUCAUGCACGAAAGCGUAGGGAGCAAACAGGAUUAGAUACCCCAGUAGUCCCUGUCUCUUAUAC